rnacentral:lncRNA from 1 species
AUGCACUGCGUAUCUAUUAGGGGCCAUGCACCAGGCUGUAUGCUGUAUAUGCAGUGUCUCAUUGAUUCCUCAUGACAGCUCCAUGAAGUGCAAAUAUUCUUAUUUCUCCAUCGUACAGGUGAGAAAACAGAGACUCGGAGCAUUAAAAUGACUUGUUCAAGGUCCCAGCAUUACAAAUCAGAUCAAACCAUGGAUGAAUGGAUCCAGCCUUUGUGUCUGUUUGCCCUUCAGAUGUCGGGAAAGGAGCUGAGCAGGAAGAGAAAGGGAGCCAGCACUGUGCUGGGGUCUUUACGCCUCACCGAAUCCACAGCCAGUCCUGCAGCAGUAGAGAGCGAGUCUUCUUCCCCCUGCUUUCACCAGCCCUGGGAGCCAGCCAUCACCUCCUUCUGUGCCAACCUGAAGGGUGACAAUUAAUUCGCUUCAGUGUUAUUUUUACUUGAGUUGGCCUGCUUACAAAUGACGUUGAACUGCUUUUCAUGUUUAUUGUUCUCCAGCCUUUUAAUUUGUACCUCAUCUCUUUCCUCGGCACGCACAUACCACUCCUCGCCUGUUUAUAACAUUGUUCUCUGGGAAAAGUCAAUUUCUGGUCCAAGAUGCAGUUUUGAGGAACAAGCUGUGUUCACAGCCUGCUUGUGCUCACAACAGAAACAGGUGCAAGGGGUGGAAAAGAGGGGUUGAGACAGCAGUUUCUCCAGAGCCUUUGGGGUUCAUUUCAUCUUCUGCCUGACUCUGAACUUGAAGAAGAUAGAGGCCUGGAUUAUUCUCCAUUUAUAGUCACCCUCCAUCCAUUCUCUGCUCUGCAUUGUACCCAGAGGCUGACCUCCAGGGAUGACAUCACAGUUCCCUUGCUUUCCAGCUUCCAGUUUGGACCAGCCAGUGAUAGGCAUCAUAAUGAGAAAAGACAGGGGGACAGAGUUGAGAAAAUUUUUGUAUCCCACACUGGUAUUAGGUUCCUAGAGCUGCCAUAACAAAUUAUGACAGACUUGGAUGGCUUAAAACAACAGGAAUGUAUUCUAUGACAGUUCUGGAAGACAGAGGUUUGAAGUCAAAGUGCCAGCAGGGUUGGUUCCUGCUGGUGGCUCCGAGGGGGCACCUGCUUCAUGCCUCUCUCCUGGCUUCUGGCAGCUGCUGCCAUCCCCGGUGUUCCUCGACUUGUAGGUGCAUCACUCCAACCUCUGCCUCCAUCUCCACAUGGUGUUCUCCUCUCUGGGUCUGAGUCUGUCUCUGUCUCUUCUCCUAUUAUAAGGACACCAAUCAUAUUGGAUUAAAG